GCCUGAUUAAGUGGAUGAAUGGGCAGGCGUGUGAAAGCGCCGCUGAGAGCUGGCACGCCGCCCGAGGUGGACCCCGUAUACGGCUGGGCGCUUCCUGAGGCUGCGGCCACCGCUACUCUACGUGAAUAAGCAGUUACUGAAAAUGGAUACAUGGAGUCGAGCCAGGAAGAGGCUCCCCAUACAUCAUUCCGGAGAAGCACGGCUCCAGCUGACUGGGCUACAACAAGCAAACGCCACACACACGGGACAGAAUCGAGGGCCAUUUCCGGAGGAGCGAGGCCGCAAUGCCACUGAAGGCCAUUCAGCCCGGAUGUAAAUGACAGGUCACCAUCAUCCCGAGCCUGACAUGGGAAGCAAACAGAAGGGCACAUCCUGAACAGACACUCGCACAGCACUGAGUCGCCAGAACUGGGCGCUUUCAAAGUAAAGAAGGAGACCAGAGUUCCCAGCAAGAAACUCAAAACUGAGGAGGAACCCAGAGCCCCCAACAGACAACACAAAACGCCCCCAGGCCGAGCAUCCGAACUCCGCACAGGCAAAUCCAGGAUGACACCCGGGACCCGAAGGCAGUGAGGUGACACUUUUAUCUGC